rnacentral:rRNA from 1 species
GACCUUCGGGCCUCACACCUAAAGAUGAGCCCAAGCGGGAUUAGCUAGUUGGUGGGGUAAAGGCUCACCAAGGCGACGAUCCCUAGCUGUUCUGAGAGGAUGAUCAGCCACACUGGGACUGAGACACGGCUCAGACUCCUACGGGAGGCAGCAGUGGGGAAUAUUGCACAAUGGGGGAAACCCUGAUGCAGCCAUGCCGCGUGUGUGAAGAAGGCCUUCGGGUUGUAAAGCACUUUCAGCGACGAGGAAGGGUGUUGUGUUAAUAGCGCAGCACAUUGACGUUAGUCGCAGAAGAAGCACCGGCUAACUCCGUGCCAGCAGCCGCGGUAAUACGGAGGGUGCAAGCGUUAAUCGGAAUUACUGGGCGUAAAGCGUACGUAGGCGGCGUGUUAAGCAAGAUGUGAAAGCCCCGGGCUCAACCUGGGAAUUGCAUUUUGAACUGGCAUGCUAGAGUCCUGAAGAGGGUGGUAGAAUUUCCAGUGUAGCGGUGAAAUGCGUAGAUAUUGGAAGGAAUACCGGUGGCGAAGGCGGCCACCUGGUCAGAGACUGACGCUGAGGUACGAAAGCGUGGGGAGCAAACAGGAUUAGGUACCCUGGUAGUCCACGCCGUAAACGAUGUCAACUAGUUGUUCGUGUCAUUAAGACGUGAGUAACGCAGCUAACGCACUAAGUUGACCGCCUGGGGAGUANCGGCCGCAAGGUUAAAACUCAAAUGAAUUGACGGGGGCCCGCACAAGCGGUGGAGCAUGUGGUUUAAUUCGAUGCAACGCGAAGAACCUUACCAUCCCUUGACAUCCAGUGAAUUUUUCAGAGAUGAAUUAGUGCCUUCGGGAACACUGAGACAGGUGCUGCAUGGCUGUCGUCAGCUCGUGUUGUGAGAUGUUGGGUUAAGUCCCGCAACGAGCGCAACCCUUAUCCUUAGUUGCCAGCACGUAAAGGUGGGAACUCUGGGGAGACUGCCGGUGAUAAACCGGAGGAAGGUGGGGACGACGUCAAGUCAUCAUGGCCCUUACGGGAUGGGCUACACACGUGCUACAAUGGCGCAUACAAAGGGCAGCAAGCCAGCGAUGGUUAGCGAAUCUCAUAAAGUGCGUCGUAGUCCGGAUCGGAGUCUGCAACUCGACUCCGUGAAGUCGGAAUCGCUAGUAAUCGUGGAUCAGAAUGCCACGGUGAAUACG